GAUCAUGGCUCAGGAUGAACGCUAGCUACAGGCUUAACACAUGCAAGUCGAGGGGCAGCAUUUCAGUUUGCUUGCAAACUGGAGAUGGCGACCAGNGCACGGGUGAGUAACACGUAUCCAACCUGCCGAUAACUCGGGGAUAGCCUUUCGAAAGAAAGAUUAAUACCCGAUAGUAUAAUUAGACCGCAUGGUCUUAUUAUUAAAGAAUUUCGGUUAUCGAUGGGGAUGCGCUCCAUUAGG
rnacentral:rRNA from 1 species